AAUUCUCAACCCUUGUUAACUUUUUAGUUAGUAAGUGGAUUGGAAGUGGGGGCAUGUUGGUUUCUUCAUUGAAAUGAACUCCCCUGAAAUGCAUUAGCUGGUUGCCUUGUGCAAACAUGUCUAUUGGUGUGAUAAUUAUCUACGCCGUGGGCUAUUUGCCGUUUAUAGCACUGCUUAUAAUCGUCUGUUCAUUCAGACAAUACAUGACA
rnacentral:misc_RNA from 2 species